ACUUUACCCAUGUUUAUAUGUUAAAUUGCACUUGUCUCUCUCUCUAUCUCUGUUAACACAUUUAUAUUUGUUUGAUUAAUUCUUGUGUCUUUCAGCCUGUUUCUGCCUAUCACCAUGAGUGAUUCCUCAAUACUCAGAUUUAUCAUCAAGAUCUCAAUUAUAAGCUCAAGUUUUGAUGACAACUUGGUGAUCUGCAGAAAGCACCACCAUGUAAGGAAGGCCAAGACCACUCUGGAAUCAGUCAAGGCUCAUAGGAACUCCAAUCUUCCCAACUGUGAGAGGGCCUUGCUCCAGUGACUGUGAAAUGGAGUGAGGCAUACCAGGAUAUGCCUGGUUUUACUUUUGGGAAGGAGGUUGAACAGUGCAAUAUUUCUUCUAUAGGAUUGCAGUGACCAGACAUGCUACUGUAACUCUCAUGGUCAUGUGCUGGAAUUUGCAGAUAUUCAACAAUUUGGCCAUCUCGCUGACCUGUUGAUAUCAGAAGACCGCAACAGCUCUGCAAAGCAAGUUGCAAAACAGAAUCCAUGAAACUGGCAGUGACUGGAAACCAAUUGGAAGACUUUGGUCUGUGAUGUAGAGGAGUGGGCAGAGGUAGCAGAAGCAAAGACAACAAAAAGAAGAAGUGAUGUGGAUGUCUUCGUCAUAUUGCAUGGUAUGUACACUAGACUUCU